UGUACAACUGGUCUUGCUCUUUUUUCAGUCUGUAUUAACUCCAUGGAAAGAACAUGGACAAUCCAUUUAAGGACAUCCUGGAUGAGCUGGAUGUCAGGUUUAUCAAAGACAAAAAACUAUAAUAAAGAGCCUCCCUGCUGCCAAGCUCACCUUCAAGGAAAUAUCAUGGAUUAUUACUGCCUUGGUUAAAGUCAAUUACAGGAGCAGCAGUGUUAUAUGCAAGAAAGUGCCAAGCUCUAAUAAAGGCAGUUUCUACGGCAGAGAAUCCAUGAAGAAAAUGUAUUCUCAUCAGAAAAAACCCUCUCGCCAUUCGGAGGGGAUUUCCUGUUGUGGUAAUAGAAUGGGUUUAGAGAAUAACUGCCAGAAACUAACAAUUUGUGAAGAAGAGCACCAACUACAAAAC
rnacentral:lncRNA from 1 species